rnacentral:misc_RNA from 1 species
GAAAUGCGAUAAGUAAUGUGAAUUGCAGAAUUCAGUGAAUCAUCGAAUCUUUGAACGCACCUUGCGCUCCUUGGUAUUCCUUGGAGCAUGCCUGUUUGAGUAUCAUGAAAUCUUCAAAGUAAAUCUUUUGUUAACUCAAUUGGUUUCUACUUUGGUAUUGGAGGUCUUUGCAGCUUCACACCUCUCCUCUUUGUUCAUUAGCUGGAUCUCAGUGUUAUGCUUGGUUCCACUCGGCGUGAUAAGUUAUCUAUCGCUGAGGACACUGUAAAAGGUGGCCAAGGUAAAUGCAGAUGAACCGCUUCUAAUAGUCCAUUGACUUGGACAAUACUUUUAUGAUCUGAUCUCAAAUCAGGUAGGACUACCCGCUGAACUUAAGC